CGGGUGACAGGGAGACAGGUGGUGCAUGGUUGUCGUCAGCUCGUGUCGUGAGAUGUUGGGUUAAGUCCCGCAACGAGCGCAACCCCUACGUUUAGUUGCUAACGCGUGAAGGCGAGCACUCUAGACGAACUGCCGUUGACAAAACGGAGGAAGGUGGGAUGACGUCAAAUCAUCAUGCCCCUUAUGUUCUGGGCGUACACACGUGCUACAAUGGCCGGUACAGACGGACGCAAAGCCGCGAGGUGGAGCAAAUCCUAAAAAGCCGGUCUCAGUUCGGAUUGCAGGCUGCAAUUCGCCUGCAUGAAGUCGGAAUCGCUAGUAAUCGCAGGUCAGCAUACUGCGGUGAAUACGUUCCCGGGCCUU
rnacentral:rRNA from 1 species